rnacentral:lncRNA from 10 species
CAGGCCAGCUGGGGCAGAACUGAAAUUGGUGACAUGUGCCUCUCUGGUCCCUUGGCUCCCGCCCCCGCUCCCUCACCCCCAGAGUCUUCCUGAAGGAGCCUCCAGACCGAGCAAGGAGUCAAAGGCAAUGCCCACCCUGCGUGGGAGCUGCUGUCCUGCCUUCCACGUGACCCCAGCCUAGCCUGGCCAUGCGUGAGCUGGGAGCUGCCCGACUUCCGGAGGAACUUCCUCUUCUCAUCACGGAUCAAAAUGGCUUCUUGGUCUCAGCUGGAGGCCCUGCGGGGGGCUGGUCACCCCAGCCUGAAGGACAGCCACAGAGUGAAGGGGGGCUCUGAGCCUCUGGGGGCGGUGACAUCUGCCAAAAGGUGAACCGUGGCCCUUUCCCAAGAGGCUCCCACAGCUCCUCCGAUGGAGCCUCUUGUGUAAGCACCUGCCCAGGCCAUGGAGGGCCUGGGUCCUGCUGGAGUGACCCUAAACGACCCCCUUGUGCCCUUCCCGCCUCACGUGAGGGACACAAAAUAUGGACCGCCUGGCCUCCCCUUCCUCCUGCUCCCUCCCAGCUACAGGGUACAGACACUCAUGGGCACUGUGUUGGCAUAUGUGUGUGGAUGAGCAAACACACACAUGGGGGGGUGCCCUGAGCCUGUGACCCCUGAGCCUGUGACCCCUGCCUGCCAGGGAGCAGACCUGCAGAUUCCUGGACGCCGAGGGAAUAGAAGGCCUGGCCCAGCCUGGGCAGUGCAUGCCUUGGCGAGGGUGCGUGUGUGUCUCUGGGUGGCCCGGGAUGGAGCUGAGGAGCCAGAUGCAUCCUCUGGGGGGUUGUGGCCUGGGUCGAAGUCAGGACAGCGCCAGGGAAACUCCUGCCACCCGCUGCCCCCAGCCCCAGGCUGCCGCUGCUGUCCAGAAUUCCCCCAGCGUUCACUCCAUGCCAGGCACCAACAUGGACGGCUCCUUUAAUGCCUGAUGCCUAUCCUUGUCAGGGCCAGGACAUGGAUGAUGGGCAGGCUGGACAUGUGGCCAUUCCUAUUUCCGACUUGCAUUUGGGUUCUUCAGCAUUACCCUCUCUCGGUCAUUGAUUCACUCUACAAACACACUCAUCCUUGGUGCCAAUGACCUGCCAGAUAGACCUCCUCCAGGCUGCGGAUGAGAAGGACAUGGUCCUUGUCCUUGUGGAACUGACAAUCCAGCAGGGAUGACUGACAGGUACGGUGCCAUUUCAGAGCACGAGAGGUGCCUGCAAUACUAUGCAUCUGGGCAAUGACCAGGGGUGGCUUCAAGAAGGCCUCCCUGGGGAGGUGGCCGUAGAGCCCAAGGAAACCUCAAUGAGGAAAAAGACCAGCCAAGGAAGACUCAGCAGGAGCUGCCAUGCGAUGUCCCCAGGGCAGGAGGCAGCUGUCGCAGCCAAGGGAGGUGCAGAGUG